UACGAAGGGGGCUAGCGUUGCUCGGAAUCACUGGGCGUAAAGCGCACGUAGGCGGCUUUUAAGUCAGGGGUGAAUCCUGGAGCUCAACUCCAGAACUGCCUUUGAUACUGAGAAGCUUGAGUCCGGGAGAGGUGAGUGGAACUGCGAGUGUAGAGGUGAAAUUCGUAGAUAUUCGCAAGAACACCAGUGGCGAAGGCGGCUCACUGGCCCGGUACUGACGCUGAGGUGCGAAAGCGUGGGGAGCAACAGGA
rnacentral:rRNA from 1 species